CUUUAAUGUUGCUUUAAAGAAACAGACAUAGGCUACCCUCACUAAAGUUACCUGUAGCAGUUUCCAUCAUCAAAAUCGGACAUGCUCUACAGGCAAUAGUAUUUAGCAGUAAAGCCACCUAUCUGGAAGUGGUCUAAUGUCUUAAAUUGUUCAAAUCCUAAACUGGUACAAACACCCAGUUGUGAAGAAGCGGAAUGAUAUUUGCAUAAUUUGACCUACAGUAGGCCUAUGUGGGCAGUGAUGCCAUGCUGCAGCGAUAUUUAACUUAAUGUCAUUGUGACCAAUUUUCUUUUUGCAUUUUCAGAUUUGUGCAGAAUUCCACCGGAUAACAAGUACAAACUUAAAGAGUACAUUUUAUUCUGCAUUUGAUAAGUAUAUGCCACGGCUCAUAACAUUGUACCGUGAAAAAGCGGCCCGCACUGGCAAAACUUCUGAAUUGCUAAGAAACAUCUUCAGGACUUAUGAUCUCCUUGAAGCCGUUGAUGUUAACAGCAGACGUACAAUUGCUCUGCGGGCACUUCCCAUUUUCCUGCGUGAAGAUGCUGAUGGAUUUUUUAAGACCUGGAAUGCAGAAGACAUUGACCUGCCAGACCUCUCAGAUACGGCUGUAGCUGUUCUCACUGUCUCAAAUGACACAGUCUCCCUUGUGAAGUUUGGUCCUGCGAUACAUUCUAUUGUUCUCGAGGGAGAUAUUGUGGUGUGUGAUAUAGCACAGUUGACCGAGGCAUUCAUUUUGCUUUUUGGCCUGAUUUAUGCUCUACAUCUAGACUAUCCAAAGCAAUUGUCGUACACGUUCAAUUUUAUUCAAAAAAUUAUAAUGGGUUUGGAUGACCUGAAGCGGUUACCUCCGAGGCUGCUUAGUCUGAAAAAUGAUCUACUGAUGAUGGAUGAGUAGUCUGCUUAAUAUAUGUCAUUGUUGGUACUGCCAGCAUGGUGAUACUCAAGCAACCAUUUUGUUUUUGUUUUCACUUUUUUUUUUUUUUAUCUCGGCCUAUUGUUGUUGGCCUAUUAUUUUUUGGAUUGGCCUAUUGUGUUGGCCUAUUUUUUUGUUUGUUUGUUAUUUGGAGUAUUACUUGUAUUACCUUGAUUGAAAAUAUGGUUGUUAUUUCUUUAGUUUCUAUACUAACCCCAUUGCUGGGCACGUUGUUCUGAAUUCAAAUGGAAUUGUUAAAAUAAACAUAAUCUGCAUUGACAUUGUGUUUUGAAUAUUUCUUUUAUUUGAAUCAUACAAAUAAAAUAUGUUUGCUUUUGAGGAAAA